GAUGAAGAACGCAGUGAAAUGCGAUAAGUAAUGUGAAUUGCAGAAUUCAGUGAAUCAUCGAAUCUUUGAACGCACAUUGCGCCCCCUGGUAUUCCGGGGGGCAUGCCUGUUCGAGCGUCAUUUCACCACUCAAGCCUCGCUUGGUAUUGGGCAUCGCGGUCCGCCGCGUGCCUCAAAUCGACCGGCUGGGUCUUCUGUCCCCUAAGCGUUGUGGAAACUAUUCGCUAAAGGGUGUUCGGGAGGCUACGCCGUAAAACAACCCCAUUUCUAAGGUUGACCUCGGAUCAGGUAGGGAUACCCGCUGAACUUAAGCAUAUCAAUAAACGGAGGA
rnacentral:misc_RNA from 1 species